GACGGAGGAUGCAAGUGUUAUCCGGAAUCACUGGGCGUAAAGCGUCUGUAGGUGGUUUAAAAAGUCCACUGUUAAAAAUUGAAGCUUAACUUCAAAGAUGCCGUGGAAACUUUUAAACUUGAGUAUGAUAGGGGUAGAGGGAAUUUCCAGUGGAGCGGUGAAAUGCGUAGAUAUUGGAAAGACCACCAAUGGCGAAGGCACUCUACUGGGCCAUUACUGACACUGAGAGCGAAAGCUAGGGGAGCGAAUGGG
rnacentral:rRNA from 1 species